ensembl:snoRNA SNORD59A small nucleolar RNA, C/D box 59A
CCUCCGAUGACGAUGCAAUUCAAUGACUUUCGUUCUUCUGAGCUCGCUGAAGCCGCAUGUGAAAGUCUGAGGAGG